AUUAAAGUUUUUCCUUUAAAAAAAAAAAGAAGUGCUUGUGUCGCAUUUAAAUUCGCAGCAACAUGCUUUGACGAGCCAUGCCAACCAUGACAAAUCGGUUGCGCUGCAUGCACAUAUCGUCCACUCACCAUGUGAGUACCAUGUCUUUCUUAUUUAGUUCCGCAGGAGUAACAGACCGCUCGACCACUCCAUCGCCCACGACCGUUAAAAAAGCAUCAGUCCUCUGUUCCCAGUGUUGGAGGAACCCGACGCCAUCACUCGAAUAAUCCCCAUCAGGCCCGACAUCGUCUACCCUGGGGGUCGGAACCCUCAAGUUCUAAAGGUGGGGCUAAUGAUGGACGUGGACAAGAAGUGAGGCUGGAACAAAUCUUCAGAGACAAGCUUUUGUGAGAAGAUUUUAGCUUGACUUGGCUCUCAUCCUCAAGUUGGCAGCUGUGAUGUUUCUGCUCAGUCGGAUGGAUAAGAACAGAAACUUAUGCUUCGGAUGCUGUGUGCCUCACUGGUGUACCUAUAUAGAACUAUAGCUCUUCCCCCCUUACAAGAUGGCUUCAACAAGCAGGAGCACCUACUCAGCCUCAAUAUGUCAAUAUGGGACAUGGCUUUCCUGGUGGCCAUGAUGAUGGGAAUAAUCCUUAAACUGGCAUCUACUAUAAAGAACUCAGGAGUUGAGCUGCAGAACCAGAUUCAACUCGCAGAAGACCAUAUUGCUGGAUUAUUGUGAAAGCGAACCAAGUGCCUGUCACUGGUUUAGUGAUCCUCUCGUUUGCCAGGUUUUCAUCACAAUGAUUAUGCUGAGAGACCAGAGCUAAGACAAGACAAGCAUCUUUAAAAGGCAAGUUCUUCUUUACUAAUUAACUUACUUCUUGUGAAUACUUUUGCGCUCUUAUCUACUUCUAUCAGCAAUUCCAUCCUUUUGACUUUUAUCUUAAGAUUAUAUAUUAUUUUGAUCUCCUCUAGUUAGCAAGGAUGGAUUUUGUGGCUCCACCAGUACAAGUAUGAUAUAAUUCGACCACGUUAUAAUGUCUCAUCAGAGUGAUCUGCAUCUACUAAUACAUCUGUGAGUGGUAACGCCAAUAUAAUGGUGUUGAAAUGAAAAUUUUAGUCUAGUAUAGGGUCUACGUGGACUUCAUUCUGUUUUCCCAUGCGUGGGCACCGCAUAUUAUAGAUUGGUCCACAUAACAUUUAGGCUUCUGAUCAUGAUGUGUGGCGGAUCAGAUAGGAUGUCUGUUGUUUAUUGUGAGUGAAGAUUAUGAUCUUGAUAGUGUUACAGGACAUGAGUUAGAUGAGUUGCUACCAUAGUCUCAUAGUAUAGUUACCAAGAUCGG